rnacentral:rRNA from 1 species
UAAGGAAUAUUGGUCAAUGGAGGCAACUCUGAACCAGCCAUGCCGCGUGCAGGAAGAAGGCCCUAUGGGUCGUAAACUGCUUUUGAACAAGAGAAAACCCCGGUACGUGUACUGGGUUGAUAGUAUUGUUAGAAUAAGCAUCGGCUAACUUCGUGCCAGCAGCCGCGGUAAGACGAAGGAUGCAAGCGUUAUCCGGAUUCAUUGGAUUUAAAGGGUGCGUAGGCGGACUGAUAAGUCAGUGGUGAAAUCUCUCGGCUUAACCGAGAAACUGCCAUUGAUACUGUUAGUCUAGAGUACAGAUGAUGUGGGCGGAAUAUGACAUGUAGUGGUGAAAUAUUUAGAUAUGUCAUAGAACACCGAUUGCGAAGGCAGCUCACAAAACUGUAACUGACGCUGAGGCACGAAAGUGCGGGGAUCAAACAGGAUUAGAUACCCUCGUAGUCCCUGAGCGGGCUGGCAAGGCGCAU